AUGGCGAGUUUCUACGAGGAGUUCUGGGAUGGUAAAAGGGGUGUAGAUAAAAUAGUCUGUGUGGAUUUGAGUCAUAGUAACCACUAUGUUUCUACUCCAUGUCUAUGGAAUACAUUAAAAUUUCUAUACAAUCUGGGGGUGAUUUCUCAUAUCUUAAAGGAAUUUAUAUCUCUCCCGAUAUAUAAUGCCGACACUAAACUCCAAAUUCCGCAUUCAAAUUGCAUACCAUUGAUAGGUGAAUUGAGUGACGUGCUCCUACAUCUCUUUUUUCAACAUCAAUUUGAUAGGGAGGUCCUGAGCCGGUAUGAAGGUGUUCUUUAUACAAGAUGGGACACCAAUGUCCUUCUAGCUUCAAAAUGCCAUGAUUCAUAUUGCCUUGAUUGUCGUCAAAUUCUGGACAUCUUAAGGUACGUGAAUCUAACUGGAUUUAUUUCAGUGAUAGAGCGUGGUGGCGGGGGCAUGCAUGUGAACCCUGAGAAAUCUCAGAUAUUUCUCAGUGCAGAUGGUGAUGUUAGUGUCCCUCAACUAGACGAAGGUGAGACUGACUAUGAUAGUGAUUGA
rnacentral:rRNA from 1 species